GCCGCCAUCGUCUAGUGGUUAGGACAUAGCCCUCUCAAGGCUAAAGCACGGGUUCAACUCCCGUUGGCGGUA
rnacentral:tRNA from 1 species